rnacentral:rRNA from 1 species
GAUGAACGCUGGCGGCGUGCCUGAUACAUGCAAGUCGAGCGAACAGACGAGGAGCUUGUUCCUCUGACGUUAGCGGCGGACGGGUGAGUAACACGUGGAUAACCUACCUAUAAGACUGGGAUAACUUCGGGAAACCGGAGCUAAUACCGGAUAAUAUAUUGAACCGCAUGGUUCAAUAGUGAAAGACGGUUUUGCUGUCACUUAUAGAUGGAUCCGCGCCGCAUUAGCUAGUUGGUAAGGUAACGGCUUACCAAGGCAACGAUGCGUAGCCGACCUGAGAGGGUGAUCGGCCACACUGGAACUGAGACACGGUCCAGACUCCUACGGGAGGCAGCAGUAGGGAAUCUUCCGCAAUGGGCGAAAGCCUGACGGAGCAACGCCGCGUGAGUGAUGAAGGUCUUCGGAUCGUAAAACUCUGUUAUUAGGGAAGAACAAAUGUGUAAGUAACUAUGCACGUCUUGACGGUACCUAAUCAGAAAGCCACGGCUAACUACGUG